rnacentral:rRNA from 1 species
GACGAACGCUGGCGGCGUGCUUAACACAUGCAAGUCGAACGGAAAGGCCUGCUUUCCCUUGUGGGUUGCGGGUGCUCGAGUGGCGAACGGGUGAGUAACACGUGAGUGAUCUGCCCCCAACUUGGGUAUAAGCCUGGGAAACUGCGUCUAAUUCCCGAUAGGACUGCAGGGUGGUGCCUGUGGUGGAAAACGAUUUUCUAGUGGUUGGGGAUGAGCUCGCGGUCUAUCAGCUUGUUGGUGGGGUAAUGGCCUACCAAGGCGGCGACGGGUAGCCGGCCUGAGAGGGUGGACGGCCAGAGUGGGACGGAGAUACGGCCCAGACUCCUACGGGAGGCAGCAGUGGGGAGUAUGGCACGGUGGGCGGAAGCCUGAUGCAGCGACGCCGCGUGGGGGAUGACGGCCUUCGGGUUGUAAACUCCUUUCGGCCGCGAGGAAGCCACCUGGUUGGAAGGGUGGUGACGGUAGUGGUAGAAGAAGCACCGGCUAACUACGUG